rnacentral:rRNA from 1 species
UACGUAGGGUGCGAGCGUUAAUCGGAAUUACUGGGCGUAAAGCGUGCGCAGGCGGCUUGCAAGACAGAUGUGAAAUCCCCGGGCUCAACCUGGGAACUGCAUUUGUGACUGCAAGGCUAGAGUACGGCAGAGGGGGAUGGAAUUCCGCGUGUAGCAGUGAAAUGCGUAGAUAUGCGGAGGAACACCAAUGGCGAAGGCAAUCCCCUGGGCCUGUACUGACGCUCAUGCACGAAAGCGUGGGGAGCAAACAGG